rnacentral:misc_RNA from 1 species
UUCAAGUGCAUAGAUUUGGAUGGAAAUGGUGUGUUGACACCCAAUGAAAUGCAAUUCUUCUAUGAGGAGCAGUUGCACCGUAUGGAGUGCAUGGCCCAGGAGCCUGUGCUAUUUGAGGAUAUCUUGUGUCAAAUAGUUGAUAUGAUUGCACCAGAGGCUGAAGAUUAUAUAACACUGCAUGACUUGAAAACAAGCAAGCUCUCGGGAAAUGUUUUCAAUAUUCUGUUCAAUCUCAAUAAGUUCAUGGCUUUUGAAAGCCGUGAUCCAUUUCUAAUUCGCCAGGAACACGAGGAACCAACUUUGACAGAGUGGGAUCGCUUUGCACAUAG